UCUUUCCUUCCUCCUGCUCGCUCCCCCAUCUUGAUUUUUUCCAAGACGCCAUCCCUGCUGUAUAAACAAAAGCUAUUGUAGCCAUGGUUAAUAAUCCCCAAAUAAAGCACAAGCAAGGGAGAGAGGAAGGAGUGAGGAACGCACAAACUAUUGGCUGGGAUCCGAGCCCAGAAAGGGGAGCGACAUGAACUGGUUCGGAGACUCAGCAGGACUUGGAUGUUCCAGGACUGGGGCAGGUGUCUGAGUUACCCCAGGAUCAAAUGAAUGAAGGUAGAGGUCUAGAUCCUCAGCUGGUGUAAGUCCCUAUAGUCAGAGGAGUGACACACAUUUACACCAGCUGAGAGUUUGGCCCAGAGAAUGAAUUCCCCUUUCUCCACUGGUGAAGGGUGUGAGGGUGUCUCUCCCCACUCUGUGGUGUAGGUUUCUGACUCGGUAAUGGCACAACUUGCAGGACACCCAGUUGCUUCAAUAGGCCCAAAAGCUGCACAAGAGGACCCCAUAUUUUGGUGACUUUAGGGCCCUCAUCCCAGGAUGACGCAGCAGGCCUGAUCUUAGUUACACCACAGCCUUUUUGUGUACCUCUCCACAGGAGACCUCCCCAGCCACUGCCUAAGGAUCCCUGGUGCAGGGAGCAUGGCCCAAGUGCACUGCACUGCUUCUAUUUGCUGUUUCCUAUGGUGCCUGGGAAGCAGAGUGUGCUAGAGGAGCCCUGAGGUUGCUCCAAGUUACACAUGGGCCCAGCCCUGCCCCAGAAUACAGAGUACAAAGAUGGGUUAAAGUCUCCUUCGCUCCCUGCAAUCGCUGGCAGCAGUGGAGUAAAUAAGAAUCGGACCUGGUGCUCUCAUGCCACAGUGCCGGGUGGAAGCUGGAAACAGGCUAGCACACCAUCUGGGGAGGAACAGGACUAGGCCCCCGGCCUUACUUCAGAGGGACCAAAUUCCUCUUGUGUCUCAGGAGACGGCAACUCUUCCCCCUCCCAUGGCAGAAGCGUGUGAAGAGGUUCAAGACUGAACAGUGUCCAGAUUCCUCCUUUAACAUCUGCCUCUCGUCAGCUGAGAGAUCUGGGCAGGAAGCGAGUCUUGCUGAAUAAUUCAUCACGCUGACCUCAUAACUCCUAAAGAGCAGCAUGAACCUCGGAUGGAAGAAAGCUGGUGGGUCUGACCCUCCCCAGCUGAUCUGCCUGGUUUUAGCAGGGGACAGUGUGACGCAUGGCUAGAAAGGGUUAAACAUCCUGCAAAAUAAAUAACCCUCAAGAUGUGUAGGGAGAUAAUGUUUGUGAUUUUGUCUUUACAUAUGUAUGAGGAGGAUCAAUAAUGUAAUCAACAGUCCUUGUCUAUGCUGUAUUCUGAUAAUUCAGAGGUCAAAAGCAUUUAAAUCAAUUGUAAACAUCUCUUUGAAAUGUUCUGUGAAUGGCAGAGGAACAAGCAAAUGGCCUUGUGUUGAUUCUAUAGUUAAGUAUCCUGAUGGACCUCCUUCAAAGUCAUCCGAAUUACUUUCUGUUCCCUGAGAAACUCCAGCUUGUCAAAAGACAUGAAAUUGUAUAAAAGAUCCUUGGAACCUGAUUCUGUGAUCUCAGAUCUGCCUAACCUUCGUCAGGGGAGUUUCAGUUUCAAGACUGAGGUCCAGUUGUGCUGGUACGCCCUGAAUGAGAUUUGGACAGUGGACUAUGACCUGUGGACUAUUUCUGAAAACACUUUGCAACUACAAAGCUCACCAUUUCUGCUGUGAAUCUGCACCUCAAUGAAUUGAACUCAUGUCUGUAUGUAUAUUGAGCUUUUAACCAUAUUCUUUGUUUUUAAUAAAUUUUAGUUUAGUUAAGAAUUGGCUGUAGCAUGUAUUUGGGUAAGAUCUGAAACUUUCAUUAACCUGGGAGGUAAUGUGUCCGAUCCUUUGGGACUGGUAGAACCUUUUCUUUUAUAUAAGAUUUAAAGAAACUUUUAUCGUAUUUGACAUGGGUACCUGGAUGGAGGCCUGAGGCUGGAUCACUUUAAGGGAACUGUGUUUGGACUUCUGAGGAACCGGUAAGGUAAAUAAGAAGCUGUUUUAUGCUGGCUUGGUGAAUCUAAGUAUUGAAUAUCCACCAGCUUUGGAGGGGUUGGCUGCCCCAUUCUUUGCAGUUCACCCUAAUUGAGUGACCACAACUAGCCCCCACUGGGACCCUGGUCACAGUGGCAUAGUGAUGCUUGGAUACCCAUGACCACAGGUUAACUGGGUUUUUGGAUCAGAACCCCACACUUGUCAAAAUUUAACUGAUAUUGGAGAGUUUAAGGGUUAAAAAUCAGUUACUGUGUGACCCAUGAUCAAGAUCCUGACAGAAAAAGCCUGGAAAAUUGUGCUUACAGAAAGGGAUGUAUUUUAAGCAAAAGGCCUAUUGCCUGAUUUAGGGUGUUAAUAAUUUGGAUAGUGUGGGGUUUUAUCUUUGAUCAAACAGAUUGGCAAGCCUAAAGUUCUUGUCCUGGAUCAAGCUCCACAGAAUUUACAAAGGACCCUCAAGGGUAUGACAGGAAGCUCACACAGACAGAAAUAGCCAUAAAGGCCUUUUAUUACGAUCAAUGAACUAGUAAGUAAAUGGUAAACUCAGAAUUACAAAGUUGCACUUCUUUUACUGCUAUUCAAAAGAUACGUAUGUAAUAUAGUAUUAUAGGCUACAAAGCUUUGGUUAAUAUACUCUCACCCUUCCUCGAUAACCUAGUGGUAAGACACAGGAGCAGCCUGGCGGUUCAGGUUUCUUAAUUCUUGAGUGAGAGAUGCAGUGCUUAGAAGAAGCUAAUGUUAAGAGCGAUCACAACAACUUAAGGUUUACUUGAUUAAAUUAAACUUAAAAUCAAACUAAGAACAAAAGCUUGGGGAAACCAAGCUUAGCCUAGUUCCCUUGGAACUUAAAGUUUGAAAGAAAAUGAGUACGGCCAGCAAUGGUUAGUAGUGUCCUAGAUAGCAUAGAAGAGGAAUAGAAUAGGGAGUAGAAAUAGAAUACUCUAGCAAGGUGGUUCACCUCUUUUAUAAGGCACGAGUGCCAGAAAUCCUUCUUCCUAUGCCCAAAUUUCAUUCCUCACCCACAAAAUGUUAGGGCAUGCUCACUCCAUUGGCUAGUAUGUUUGUGCCUAUUGAUGUGUGCAUACACAUGGUGGCUUUGUCAUUUCGGUUUUCUUCGUGGUGUACCUGUGAAGUCUGUGGGUACAAACUUGGAAACCCCCUAGACCAUUUUUCCAUCAGUGAUCUGUCUAAAGUCGUAGACAUAUUUGUGGGUACUUAUCUAUAUUAAGAUCUUUUACCUACAUAUGUUCACUUUACCUUAGCUUAACCUACAGGAUAUGGCCUGUAGGUCCCUUUGCAUUACAGCCAAAUUUAAUUUAAUAUAAAUCAAAAUACUUAAACUAUAAGAAAAAAUAUCUAAGCAAGCAAGUUAAUCAUAUAGACCCCAGACCAGGAACUGAAAAAUCUGUUAAUAGCCAGUGAUAAGGAAGCAGACCCAGUGAAAAUGCUUACAGAGAGAAACCAGCAACUAGAACUUGAACAAAAGCAAAAAAUAGUUGGUCUGGAAGAAGCUACUGAAAGAGAAGGUCUGUGGUUUGAACAUGAACAAAGAAUGGCAUAUAUUCAAUUGCAGAAAUGAGAAGCGAAGGCAAAAGUGGACAGACUUAAGCUCCAACUCAAAAAAAUAAAGGAACAGGAACUGUAUCAUACUGAAAAAAGUUCCCCUCAACAAAGAUGGGGAUAGAAUCUAUCCAGUUGGUAACAAUGUUGGUAUGUUACUUGACUCUAAGCAGUUGUCUGUGUGUAACCAAAUUUAUCCCAACACUGCCACCUUUUAUGUAAAUGCUGUUACUGUGCGCUCAGGUGAAAGUAACCCUGUAAUUUGUGCAGAGCAUGUGUAAAUCAAUGGGGGAAAAACUGUUUAGGGCAAAUGAGCUUCUAACAUCACUCUUGUUAAAACAGAUUCAAUCAAAGAGGAAGAUUGAUUUACCAAAUCAGAGUGUGAAUCUUGUAAUCCUCUGAGUUUACUGUCAGUAUGGCUUUAGUCACAAUCCCUCUUGAAUGGAAUAGUGUUAAACAUGAAGUUAUAGCUGGUGAAAGGAAGUUAUUGCUAAGCCCCUUUUGAUAGGGGAUGAUACUAAAACUUUGUUCAGUCAAGUUGAUGACAUAAACCAGUUGCAGGUAAGAAAUAGUCCUGAACCUGUCUCUACUAGGGGCAAGGAUUUGCCUAUGGAGGGUUUCUCCAAAUGUUGGUAUGAGGAAGAUAGCUGUAAAUCCACUAGGACUCUGGUCAGACAGAAACACACUUCCCGGUAAGCAGGAGAUCCACAUUCCAUCCAGGCCUCUGCUGGGUGAUCUUGCUUCUCUAUCUUCAAGAUCCCUGAGAUGAAUGGAGCAGGGUGGCCUUGGUGUAGGACAGGCUCAGGUUUGAGCCCUGGGCCAUUCAGGUGAGUGUAGAAACCCAUAGGACUAAAGAAGUGCAAAACACAUGCAGGUCGAAAAGCCAUACAAAGAACCUAUAUUUUUGGUCACUCCUGGGCCCCAAACCAGCCCUCUUCUUGGGGCUCAACCCUGGUCCCCACUGGAAUGUUCCCAUUGACUUAUGGCAGCUGUGAAGCUGACCAUGUUUAAGCACAUUUACUGAACACAGGUGGAGUUUGGCCUCCAAACAAAACCAUUUGUUUCUUCUGCCUGUGUGUACUGUAACCCCACACAGGCUAGCCUUGAUCUUCCCCCAGCUGCAGUACACAACUCUGCGCAACAAGCAUCAGUUUCACUGUGCAGAUCUUCACAGAGAGAAGUGUAAUUACCAGCUCUGAGGCUACGCCUGCUAAUCAGGAAGGUCAGAUAACACCAAGGUAUCCAGGCCCAUGAAUCUCCAGCUGUGGACAAUGUUAGCUGAACCUUGAGUCCAGUCUGCUGCUUGAGUCGCUGCUUUCCCACCUGGUGUUUGCUUGACGGAUGGGGCACCAGAACUGGACACAGGAUUCUAGCAGCGGUGGCACCAGUGCCAAAAAAAGAGUGUCUCCUGAGCAUAUCCCAGCACAGCUCCAGUGGCCACUGACCUCAGCGAGAGCAGGAUUGGACCUAGGAGUCUGGCUUGAAUGUGCCAUCCCCAGCUGUCUACGCAGGUCCAAGAGGCCCGCCCCUUCUCCGCAGCUUUGUCUGUUUGGGGCUCCAGGCAAAUCCAUUAAACAAGCAAAUAAAACAGAAGGAGCGAGAUAAGGGGAGAGGGAGCAAAGACCAAGAGACUCAGAGCGUUCUGGUCCCCAGUGAGAAGCAUCCUCCUCAGCCUGUGUUGGGACCCUGCAUGCGCCCCCGGUCUUUCCCAGGAACCCAGCAUGAUAUCAUCCUGCCCCAGGGCUGUGGGGUGUGCCAGUUACAUAUCUCCAGGCCAGGGGCUGUAGAAGGAAGGGCUCCUGGUGGUUUAAGAGGGGUUCAGCCAGUUGGUGUUAUGCUGUCUCUGGACAGGCAGCAGUUUUCCAAGGUUUCAUCCUAGAAGCUGGAGAUGCCUUGUCUGGGUUGUGCCACAGCUGACACCACUAGCUAGCCAGAGUGCCUGUGCUCAGCCAAGACCUUCACUGCUACCCCACCUGCCCCUGCCUUGGAUUGUUGCAGUGCCCUAUUGUCUCUCUCUUGAGGCUCAGCCAAGCAUGCAAACAAUGGGGAUGGGGGGAAUCCUGCCCCGGAGCAGUGUAUUCCUCUGGGAUUCCAAGGUACACCCGCUGGCUUCAGCCACAGACAAAGCAGAACCCUGCCACCAGCACCAAUGAUUUCAUCUCUCCUGCAACUGGCCCUUGGUCAAUAUAACUGAGCUGGUAAUCAGCCUUCUGGAAGCCCAGUCUGUCUGCACAGCAGAGAGCACCAUCUGUCUGUCUGGGAAGGGGGAGGUGGAUGUGACCAAACCACUGCCUUCAGCCACUGGCUGUUUCAGACACCUCCUUUGUGUGUGGAGGGGUGUGUGUGUGAGCACCUAGUUGUGCAAUAUUUGCAUGGCAUGUGUGUGGGGAGGAAUUUGUGGGUGCAUGUUUCUAUGAGUGUGUGUGUGUGUGUGUGUAUAUAUAUAUAUAUAUACACACACACACAUUUGUGUGUUUGCAAUUGUGUCCGUGUGCUUGUACAUAUAUCUGUGAGUGUUUAUUUGUGCAGGCAUACGUGUGUGUGUGUGUGGGGGGGGCAUUCCUGGGUGGGUACGUUUGUGUGUCUGGGCACAUUUGUGUGCGUGCUUGUUUGCGUACCUGUAAUGCAAGCAGAUGGGUGGACACAAUACCUGGCUGCACCUUGUUUUUUGAUUGAGCAUAUCCUUAGGAGGGUGUCUGAAGUGCAUGACCUGAACAGUACUUGUAUGUAAUGUUUGCAGCUGCCUCCCCCCAGGUGUCAGAUAAAUUCUCUUCCACUUG